UCCACACUGCAACAGGGAUGGGUCAUUUAAGGGUUUUUGUUUUGUUUUGUUUUUGAAAGGCUGAAGACCUGUCCUCUCUUGGCUCUCCUUUCCUCGAAACGAAAUGUCCGGAGUUGGUAUAGAGUCCUUUUGCGAGAUUUAAAAACAGACUGCCCACAAACCUGACCACGCGGGACUGUUUGGCGCUGAACUCUGGCCAGGGUACAAGGCUUCUCACAGGCCCACCAUCCAGGUUAAGAGCUGGUUGUCUGGUAGGAUGUCCUUCUGUAGAGAGUGGUGCUUCCCCAGGGAUGCUCAGGUCAGCUAGCCUGGGACACAUCCCAGUUCCCUGGCCCGAGUGAGAAGGCUCCUAGUGGCUCCCUGAUCCGGCUAGCUUCUUCCCCAUUUUAACUCAUUGACUUGAGCACAUUAAAAGACCUCCAUUUUAGAGUAGAGGCUCCAGAUUUAGCCUUUGCUGGCCUGGCACGGCACAGGGGUGCAAGGCUGGCCAUUCCCUGCCCCAGUCAACCUCCCAGCCUCCAAGUGAAGCUGGACUCCUGGAGGAAUGUGUGUAGUGGGGAGGGGAGUGGGAGCGAUCAGGGUGGUCCAGUGGAGGAAGGAGAAAAGAGAGGCAGAGGGCUCUAGAAGGGACCUCGAGUUAAAAGGGAAUGUGAGCCAGCUAUUGUCUUUAAAUGUGCCCCCCAGUUUCUCAGCAGAGCAGCCUGCAUACCUGCUUGGGUUCUAGCCUGGGGGGGGGGGGUUCUUCCACGAUUCCACAGACUCUGCUGCCCAAACAGCAGGAUUCUCCCCAUACCUCACUUUUGCCUUCACUGUGGAAAUUAGUUUCCUGACCCCCGAAAUAUUGAAAUUCUGUAACCAGGACAUCCCAAGGUCGUGGAAUUUUGAGACACUUAAAUCCGGAGCUGGCGUUCAGGAGAAUCUAGUACAGGAGCUCAGCUGGGGAGGAGAACCGGGGGGAACUGGGUAGGAAUUGGUGCUUUAGGCACUGGGCAGCUACUCUGCCUCUCACAAGGCCCUCAAGGUGCCCGCUGCCCCAAUCCCCCCUCACAUUUCUCCUCCUGGGGCCGGGGUGUAAAAAGUGAAGGAAAUAAUUGUCCAGGACCAUAAUGCUGUGAUUUCAAGUACCGUUCGGCCUUAGCACCGCCAGGAUCCUCUAGACCAGAAGGCGCAGCAAAGGUGGGGUACCCGGAGGGAAAUGCGCUGGGUGCGGAGCUCCUGGGGCAGCACUGGGGAUGCUCCUAGGGGGCUCCCAGGAGGCGCCCCUUUCUCCACCACCCCCCACCUCUCCUUGAAUAUCUUCCCCGUGAAACUCUAGCGGGGCUUUACCCUGGGCAGUGGAAUCCUUCCACCUUUUCAUCAGGAACGUAGUAUCAUGGGUCCAGGAGAAGUUUAAAGUUCAUGUGCAAGAGGAGCAGCCGAAGGACGAAGAGCCCUCUCGAGGCUGGCCUGGUGGUGGGGAGCAAAAACCGCAUUUCGGGCCGGGUCUACUCAUCCCGGGACUGCUCGCUUGGCCCAGGGAUCGGGAAUUUUCCCGCUGGCGCUCGGUGCUUGCAAGAGCGGCCAGGAAAGCUAGAAAUUCUUGAACAAAGACCGAGAUUUCUAACGCGCCCAAGAGAAGGCCGUGCGCGCUAGCUCCGCACACUCCAGGCCCGCCCGGCUGGGGCUCCGAGGGGGCAGCGGGUGCGCGCGGGCCGCGGAUCCGAGCCGAGCGCCACCCCAGCUUCCAGACGCUUGCGGCCCGAGACGUGCCCUUCCCGAAAAGCAGUAACUCUGUCCGAGCCGGGUUCUGCCUCCCAGCCGCAGUGGCCCCCGCGGCGCCCAGCCCUGGGAGCCACCUUACCGAGGCGCAGCUCGUGGGGUUGCCGAGGGCUGGCUGCCGCGGGUCUCUCUGGGACGGGAGGGGGUCUAAUACCCCGCCCCCCGGGGGCAGGCGCGCGCACACAACAAUUACCCGCGUAGGCCACACAUCCACACGCUCCCAGAGGUGCCCAGCCACGCAGACCCAGACACACACGGGGGAGACGAGGUACUGGCCAUUUCAGACUCUUCUGAUCAAAACCACACAAAUAAAAUUUUCCCUUCUCCAGAAGGCAAAGCAGAGCGAGAAGCCUCACGCCGCCUUCUUCUGCCAGGGUCGGUGCGUGGGGCUCUGGGCUCCAGAAAAGUCUGCCUGAGCCAAGCCUCGCCGACCAAAGCACUGAGAGCCGGCGCCGCUCCUUUCGGGCCCCGCAGUCCAGAGUUGGCAGGGACCCGGAGGUCCGUAGUUGCUGUGAACGCGUGGCCCUCGCAGCCCUGUGCACCCCCCCUCCAACUCCUUUCCCGGGGCCAAAGCUGUUCGGCCCCGUGGCACUUCAAGGCUAAGUCCUGUCUCCAAGGGAGACUCUGGCCCGCAGACCAGCCAAGGAGAUCGCCUUCUGUUCUUACCCCACACCACGCAAGGAUUCGUGGGUACCGUGUGUGUGCUGGGGUGGGGGGGCUUGCUGAGACUCCGGUUGUCACCAAUUCCUCUGACUCCCUCCGCACCUCAGAGGGGACCAGUGGCUCUGGGAUUUUUCCUGUGGCUGCUCCUUCUAGCUGGGGUCCGAAGGAGGGUGUUGGCGGGGGUUCUGGCCUGAGGCCAGCGCCAAGCAGGUGAGCUCCGAGUGCCCAGCACUCUGGUCCCCCUUGUUCUAGGUGCCGGAAGCCAACCUAACUGGAAGGUGACCCCAGAUUCCACUGCCGUGGGUUGGUUGCCGUCUCAGGGAACUUAAAGGACCCCAAGGCGGGGCAGGAACCAGGACCUGCGGGGGGGGGGUGUCGGGGUUAUUAUGGUGGCGUUUCAGAAUUAAGCUUUAACCCGGGUGGCUUUAACCUGUUGAGUUGGAAUCUAUUCCCGCAUCAGACGCCACUUACCCUCAAGCCCCUGCGGACCUCAAACAGACCCCGGCCCAGGCUCUGCAGCUCCUACAGUCCCAGUGAAGCCUCAGGAACGGUGGGAUCGGGUGAUUGCCGUUGUAAACAUCAGAAGAAGCCGAGCCGCAAGGCUUGGGAGCUGCCGAGGGGUGACCCAGGAGGAGCCGACUUGCAAGUCCCAAAUCAUCUGGCUGAGGAUGCACAAGGGUCCCUGAUACUAAGUCCACUGCUCAGCAAGAAAAUGAGUUCCCAAGCAGCGCCCCAUACCGAUGACGGGCGCGCUCGUUCGCUCACGCUCAUCUGUAGAACGUCGCGCGCCCACGGGCCUCAUUUUGCGUCUCGAGUGACUCGUCCACGGUCCUCUCGCUAGCAGUCCACGUGGGGACCAACGCGGAAGCCAGACACCCUGUGUGCUGCUCCGGGCGUCGGGACCGGCGGGGAAGUCUCUCCGCAGCGCGGAGGGCGGCGCGGCGGCCGCUGUGAAUCUGCACCUUGCCUUCUCCCUCUGCUGCGCGAACGCGUCGGGGAGUUUCGCCGACUUCCGAAGCUACCCUCAGCCCCGCUGGCCUCCGACGACUUCAGGGUCUGCAUAUUUCAGCCGCGCUGUGAUUUGUCAGGGCCGUUUAUUUUUGUUGGUCGGAAUGGGGUGCACAGUGCACCCCGCACUUCCCAGCACGUGAUGCGAGCUCAGGAAAUGAGCCAGCGAAUGAACGAACGAAGGAACGGAUCAAUAACGGAAUAGGAUUCCUUAUCUCGCAAUCCCCACGGGCAUCCGUUGAUCAUCAGGCCAUUUUCUGGAUCCUUCUAUGGAGAGAAUCACAGGCCUCGCAUGCCCUCCAAAGGAGUGUCCCCAGACGCGGUGCGGCCCGGAUCUCCCAGCUCCCGCGCAGACCGCGCACGAAGCCUCAAGCCUUUUUUGGGAGGGAGGGAGCCUGCUCUGCGCCCGGUUCAACACUCGUUUGGGUGGUGAAGGCUCCCCAGACCUCUCUGCCUUCUCGGAUCCCUAACCCUCCGGCCCAGCGCCUCGUCCAGGGUCAGGGAGGGCCUUCAGGCCACCACCUCUCUCGGGGUGGUCUCCACGUGGACCCCGCACGGAUGGAAGGCGCCCAGAAAACCGCCCCGAGAGGCUGCCUAAGGUCUUCCGCAGUGAUCUAAGCCAAAUCCCUUUGUUUUCAUCUCCGGCAAGGUCCCUGCCUCCGCCAUUGACUUUUCUCCCUGAAAAUGCAGUUUUUGUGGUUGAACAAGUGGGUGAAACACUAGAAAAAAGUGAAACAAAAGACUUUUCUGAGGCACACAAUUUUAAAAUUGAAUGUCGACUGUAAUGUAAAUGUUUCCAUUUUCUUCUCUCUCCAUUCUCCCCUGUCCUUCUUGCUCUGGGGAUCCCUACCCCUUCCUUUUUUUUUUUUUUUUUGUUUCCCCUCUCCACUUCCUGUGCCGGGCUCUUCCUUUCAACCUGACACGGUGAAAGCUUCCGCCCUAGGAUUGUAAGAGGAGCUGGGCCAGGAUGGCUGGGUUCUGGGGGAACCAGGGCAAGCGAUUAGAUAUGGUGCCUGUCAGUGAGGUGUGUGACUUUAGUUAUCCUGCGGCCAGGGUGCUCGAGGCUGUGGACUCCAGACUCCUCCAUGACCCAGAAUGAAAUGUAAGGCAGUUAAAAAAAAAUAUUAUAAAAAACCCUGAAUGGUUCCCUAAGAUUAAACAAAACAGAACAAAACGAACCAGGAGCAAAGAUGCCAUCCUCAUUAGAAGCAUUGUUCAGGAGCCAAGGGUGUUGUCCCGGCGCAAAGGGGUCACCCAGAGCCUCAGUGUCAUCCACCCAUACCGGGAUACACCUUCUGAGCCCCUACUGUGUGCUGGAGGGUUCCGAGUUAGAGACCAUCAGCGGCUCCUGUCGGAGGCUAGAGGAACGCGCCCUAAGGUGCAUGGUCUGAACCAACAAUUUUACCUACCGGAACCUUUCUUUCUCACUCCUUUCCCCCUCUUUUGAUUUUCCCUUCGCAGAGGAAUGGUGGGGAGGACACUCAUUCUGCUCUCCAGGAGACCUCUCCAGCUCUCCUACUAUGGUUUCCCAUUUUCUUCCCGUCAGUUUGCA